UCAAGUGAAUAAGUGCAUCAGGUGGAUGCCUUGGCGAUGAUAGGCGACGAAGGACGUGUAAGCCUGCGAAAAGCGUGGGGGAGCUGGCAAUAAAGCUAUGAUCCCGCGAUGUCCGAAUGGGGAAACCCACUGCAUUCUGUGCAGUAUCCUAAGUUGAAUACAUAGACUUAGAGAAGCGAACCCGGAGAACUGAACCAUCUAAGUACCCGGAGGAAAAGAAAUCAACCGAGAUUCCGCAAGUAGUGGCGAGCGAACGCGGAGGAGCCUGUACGUGAUAACUGUCGAGAUAGAAGAACAAGCUGGGAAGCUUGACCAUAGUGGGUGAUAGUCCCGUAUUCGAAAUCUCAAUAGUGGUACUAAGCGUACGAAAAGUAGGGCGGGACACGUGAAAUCCUGUCUGAAUAUGGGGGGACCAUCCUCCAAGGCUAAAUACUCAUCAUCGACCGAUAGUGAACCAGUACCGUGAGGGAAAGGCGAAAAGAACCCCGGGAGGGGAGUGAAAUAGAACCUGAAACCUGAUGCAUACAAACAGUGGGAGCACCCUUGUGGUGUGACUGCGUACCUUUUGUAUAAUGGGUCAACGACUUACAUUCAGUAGCGAGCUUAACCGAAUAGGGGAGGCGUAGGGAAACCGAGUCUUAAUAGGGCGAACAGUUGCUGGGUGUAGACCCGAAACCGAGUGAUCUAUCCAUGGCCAGGUUGAAGGUGCCGUAACAGGUACUGGAGGACCGAACCCACGCAUGUUGCAAAAUGCGGGGAUGAGCUGUGGAUAGGGGUGAAAGGCUAAACAAACUCGGAGAUAGCUGGUUCUCCCCGAAAACUAUUUAGGUAGUGCCUCGAGCAAGACACUGAUGGGGGUAAAGCACUGUUAUGGCUAGGGGGUUAUUGCAACUUACCAACCCAUGGCAAACUAAGAAUACCAUCAAGUGGUUCCUCGGGAGACAGACAGCGGGUGCUAACGUCCGUUGUCAAGAGGGAAACAACCCAGACCGCCAGCUAAGGUCCCAAAUGAUAGAUUAAGUGGUAAACGAAGUGGGAAGGCCCAGACAGCCAGGAUGUUGGCUUAGAAGCAGCCAUCAUUUAAAGAAAGCGUAAUAGCUCACUGGUCGAGUCGUCCUGCGCGGAAGAUGUAACGGGGCUCAAAUCUAUAACCGAAGCUGCGGAUGCCAGUUUACUGGCAUGGUAGGGGAGCGUUCUGUAGGCCGAUGAAGGUGCAUUGUAAAGUGUGCUGGAGGUAUCAGAAGUGCGAAUGUUGACAUGAGUAGCGAUAAAGCGGGUGAAAAGCCCGCUCGCCGAAAGCCCAAGGUUUCCUACGCAACGUUCAUCGGCGUAGGGUGAGUCGGCCCCUAAGGCGAGGCAGAAAUGCGUAGUCGAUGGGAAACAGGUUAAUAUUCCUGUACUUGAUUCAAAUGCGAUGUGGGGACGGAGAAGGUUAGGUUAGCAAGCUGUUGGAAUAGCUUGUUUAAGCCGGUAGGUGGAAGACUUAGGCAAAUCCGGGUCUUCUUAACACCGAGAAGUGACGACGAGUGUCUACGGACAUGAAGUAACCGAUACCACGCUUCCAGGAAAAGCCACUAAGCUUCAGUUUGAAUCGAACCGUACCGCAAACCGACACAGGUGGGCAGGAUGAGAAUUCUAAGGCGCUUGAGAGAACUCGGGAGAAGGAACUCGGCAAAUUGAUACCGUAACUUCGGGAGAAGGUAUGCCCUCUAAGGUUAAGGACUUGCUCCGUAAGCCCUGGAGGGUCGCAGAGAAUAGGUGGCUGCGACUGUUUAUUAAAAACACAGCACUCUGCUAACACGAAAGUGGACGUAUAGGGUGUGACGCCUGCCCGGUGCUGGAAGGUUAAUUGAAGAUGUGCAAGCAUCGGAUCGAAGCCCCAGUAAACGGCGGCCGUAACUAUAACGGUCCUAAGGUAGCGAAAUUCCUUGUCGGGUAAGUUCCGACCCGCACGAAUGGCGUAACGAUGGCCACACUGUCUCCUCCCGAGACUCAGCGAAGUUG
rnacentral:rRNA from 1 species